GACGAACGCUGGCGGCGUGCCUAAUACAUGCAAGUUGAGCGCUGAAGGUUGGUACUUGUUUCAAUUGGAUGAGCAGCGAACGGGUGAGUAACGCGUGGGGAAUCUGCCUUUGAGCGGGGGACAACAUCUGGAAACGAAUGCUAAUACCGCAUAAAAACUUUAAACACAAGUUUCAAGUUUGAAAGAUGCAAUUGCAUUACCUAAAGAUGAUACCGCGUUGGCUUAGCUUGUUGGUUAGGGUAACGCUCUCCAAGGGGAAGAUAGAAAGCCGGCCUGGGAAGGUGGUCGGCCAAAAUGGGACUGGAACACGGCCCAAGCUCCUACGGGGGGCAGCAGUAGGGGAACUUCGGCAAUGGGCGGAAGUCUUACCGAACAACGCCGCGUGGGUGGAGAAGGUUUUCGGAUCGUAAAACUCUGUUGGUAGGGGAGAACGUUAGUGGGAGUGGAAAGCUCAUCAAGUGACGGUAACUACCCAGAAAGGGACGGCUAACUACGUG
rnacentral:rRNA from 1 species